CACCCCUGGGAGGGGCCUCAGUGUUUUUGCUGAUCGUUGACAUCUGUGGGUAAUUAGCCGGGGGACUCAUAAGGCCAGCGUUCUCAAUCUCUCUUCGCCAGAUUCUCUGCUAAACAUCACUACACCUAACUGUUAAACCCCUGGCGAAGAGCUUCUACUUGGAUGCUGGACCUUCUGGCAGUCCCUCAGGCUACCACCAAAACUACCUACCUGCCUCCACGCCAGGAGUUUUUAGGAUUUACACACCCGGAUUACUCCCCCUCCAUGUCAUCUCCGACCUCCGUUGGCAAGUACACAUGACCCCGACCUUUUCCUGGACCUUUUGUGACUUGCUUUCCAGUCCAAUCCCCGGACCCGGACCAGAUCAUUAUUUAGUUAACGUCUACGCUCACCUUUUGUUUAUGAAUAUUUUGUGUGCACAUUAAACAUUAUUCUUAAAAUAUA